UUUAAUGAUGAGAUAAUUUGC
rnacentral:siRNA from 1 species